AAAGUCGUAACAAGGUUUCCGUAGGUGAACCUGCGGAAGGAUCAUUAACACGUAUCCAACGUUAAACCCCCCUGUGAACCUUCAGCGUGCUCUUUUGACCCGUUGACGCAGCAAUCUCUGGUAAAUCAUGGUGAACAGCUUUGAUUCAGGUCACAGGGUCACCAUGCCCCUUACCUCACCCCGAGUAAACCGAUCCGGCUCGCGAUAAUCCGCUUGCUAAAAAAUACUUGAACAACUGUUAACAAUGGAUAUCUUGGUUCUC
rnacentral:misc_RNA from 1 species